AGGAGACUUGCCCGCUUGGCCCCACCUGGCCGGCGGGUGAAGGUGACCUGGGUGCUUUCUUUCGGGACAGCAUCCCGCCGGAAGACCUGCGACCUCACUUCACCUUAAUCUGCCUCGGUUCCCAGGAAGAGGAGAUUAAAAAAGGAAAAGCUGAUUGUUUUGAAAAGCAUCUGAUUGCCCUAAAGGAUAGCAUAGGGGUCCAACUUUUCCAGGCACCUCUUCCAAAAAUAAGAACGGGAAAUUACCAGCAUCAAGUGGGACGUACUACCAGAAAACAGAUCAAUUCUGCUUGGACUCAGUAUAGUAUUAGCACGGAAUGAUUUUCAUUAGGAUUUAAUCUGGAUUCGAAUGAAUUUUUCAGCAACAAUUGAAACAUAUUCAAAAGCUUUUAAGUUCUUCACCCAUAGCUGUGACAAAUAGUGCUUAUUAUUAAAAUGCAAAAACACCCACAACUUCUUCGAAGACCUUUACCUCCAAAUCUCCCUAAGCUGUCUUUAUGUCAGAAGAAAGUCCAUGCAGUGAUAGAGCAGCGGAUGCGUGGCACAGGAGUGGCCAAGAGGAGCUACCCCACAUCCAAAAUCAGGAGCAGCCAAGAGGAGCUACCCCAUGUCCGAGGUCAGGAGCAGUGGCCAAGAGGAGUUACCCCACG